rnacentral:rRNA from 1 species
UAGGGAAUCUUCCGCAAUGGGCGAAAGCCUGACGGAGCAACGCCGCGUGAGUGAUGAAGGUCUUAGGAUCGUAAAACUCUGUUAUUAGGGAAGAACAAACGUGUAAGUAACUGUGCACGUCUUGACGGUACGUAAUCAGAAAGCCACGGCUAACUACGUGCCAGCAGCCGCGGUAAUACGUAGGUGGCAAGCGUUAUCCGGAAUUAUUGGGCGUAAAGCGCGCGUAGGCGGUUUUUUAAGUCUGAUGUGAAAGCCCACGGCUCAACCGUGGAGGGUCAUUGGAAACUGGAAAACUUGAGUGCAGAAGAGGAAAGUGGAAUUCCAUGUGUAGCGGUGAAAUGCGCAGAGAUAUGGAGGAACACCAGUGGCGAAGGCGACUUUCUGGUCUGUAACUGACGCUGAUGUGCGAAAGCGUGGGGAUCAAACA